rnacentral:rRNA from 1 species
GGGCCCGCACAAGCAGCGGAGCAUGUGGUUUAAUUCGACGCAACGCGAAGAACCUUACCUGGGCUUGACAUGUUCCUGACCGUCCUGGAAACAGGGCUUCCCUUCGGGGCAGGAUCACAGGUGGUGCAUGGCUGUCGUCAGCUCGUGUCGUGAGAUGUUGGGUUAAGUCCCGCAACGAGCGCAACCCCCGUCGCAUGUUGCCAGCAUUUAGUUGGGGACUCAUGCGAGACUGCCGGUGACAAACCGGAGGAAGGUGGGGAUGACGUCAAGUCAUCAUGCCCCUUAUGUCCAGGGCUACACACGUGCUACAUUGGCGCGUACAGAGGGCUGCGAUACCGCGAGGUGGAGCGAAUCCCUUAAAGCGCGUCUCGGUUCGGAUUGCAGGCUGAAACCCGCCUGCAUGAAGGCGGAGUUGCUAGUAAUCGCGGAUCAGCAUUGCCGCGGUGAAUACGUUCCCGGGCCUU